rnacentral:rRNA from 1 species
GACGAACGCUGGCGGCGUGCCUAAUACAUGCAAGUAGAACGCUGAAGGAGGAGCUUGCUUCUCUGGAUGAGUUGCGAACGGGUGAGUAACGCGUAGGUAACCUGCCUGGUAGCGGGGGAUAACUAUUGGAAACGAUAGCUAAUACCGCAUAAGAGUAGAUGUUGCAUGACAUUUGCUUAAAAGGUGCAAUUGCAUCACUACCAGAUGGACCUGCGUUGUAUUAGCUAGUUGGUGGGGUAACGGCUCACCAAGGCGACGAUACAUAGCCGACCUGAGAGGGUGAUCGGCCACACUGGGACUGAGACACGGCCCAGACUCCUACGGGAGGCAGCAGUAGGGAAUCUUCGGCAAUGGACGGAAGUCUGACCGAGCAACGCCGCGUGAGUGAAGAAGGUUUUCGGAUCGUAAAGCUCUGUUGUAAGAGAAGAGCGAGUGUGAGAGUGGAAAGUUCACACUGUGACGGUAUCUUACCAGAAAGGGACGGCUAACUACGCGCCAGCAGCCGCGGUAAUACGUAGGUGGCAAGCGUUAUCCGGAUUUAUUGGGCGUAAAGAGAGUGCAGGCGGUUUUCUAAGUCUGAUGUGAAAGCCUUCGGCUUAACCGGAGAAGUGCAUCGGAAACUGGAUAACUUGAGUGCAGAAGAGGGUAGUGGAACUCCAUGUGUAGCGGUGGAAUGCGUAGAUAUAUGGAAGAACACCAGUGGCGAAGGCGGCUACCUGGUCUGCAACUGACGCUGAGACUCGAAAGCAUGGGUAGCGAACAGG